AGUCAUCUUUAAAGGAGUUGUGGUUGGUUGCCAUUGUGUUGAAGUAAUUUCUUGCUGAAGCACCGGUCUAAAUUUAUCAUUGGUUUCGCUGGUGCUUCAUGUAAGCGGGAUUACUAAUUGUUCCAUUGGUUUUGCUCUGGUGAGUUCUUCCCCAUAUACCUUUGAUGCUUUUGCCUCCAUACCUUCGAGCUAGUAUUUUUUUCAAGGGUUAUCAUGUUUUUGUGGUAGUGUGACUGGCUCAGAGUUUAUAAUCAUUUGUCUUCUUCAAUGAAUGUCUGUGCUAUGAUAUUCUGUAAGGCUAGGCACACACUAAGUUGGUUAAUGCUUUUGAUCUAGGUUGUUGGGAGAUAAUGAAACAAUAAUGUUUAUCUGCUCACAAUGCCUUAUAUUGAUUGCUCUGGACAGGUAUUUUAAUCGUAAGAGAUGUCUCCAAAAAGGCAAAAACAACAAUUCACUGUUGAUUUACUUUGCUACGAUUGCUCCCAUUAGAUUGUCCUUAAAUCAUGUGCAAAGCUGAAGUAUUGUUCGCUGACUGUCAGCCUGACAGAUCAGAUGGGAUGAUGAUGCAGAGUGUUAAAAGGCCUAAUGGGUUAUCUCCUUGGUAGAUGAAGCUUGUUGGAUUGAUUUCAGGCCAUUGAAAACAGAUGACACCAUGCCUCCCCCAGUUAAUGAACAUGUGUCGCUUCCAAGUAAUAAUGAAUUUUCUACUAUCUCUGCUCUGCCGAACUUUCUUUUCUUUUGCCAUUUUGGCUGGUAGUCUUUCAUAGAAUUUUGUGAUAUCUACCUGACUCCAGAAGGUCAUGCAACAUUAAGAAUUGCUGGGUUUGAAAAACACAGGAUGGAAUUGUUAAUUCAUUAUCUCUGUCUGAAGCAAGACAUUUUUGGUACACUGUUGAAUAGAGUUGAUGUAUCAGCAUGAGUAACAUUGCGACAUUCUAAGGGUUGGUGCUAAAAGCCAACCUAGAAACCAUUGUUUUCCCAAAAACUAUGUGGUUCAUAUGUUGACAUGAUUGUUUACUAGUAGGACAACCAGGAGGUAGUGCAAUAUCCUUAUUAGUUAUACUCAGGGAUGCAAAAUCUUCACCUGAUGAUUCCACCCCUUUUUACAUGACACUAGCUGCCGCAUGGUAAAAGGUGUCUCGCCGAUGCUCUUUAUGACACCCGCUGACAGAUUAAUGAGUGCACUCAUAGAGAACAUAACAAGGUAUUUUAGGAAGUGCUUGGACUAGGUUCAAAUUUUUGAAAGUUUUAGGCACGCUUUUUUUACAGUGUUGGUUUCAAGUUUUUCUUUCCGACACAGUUAGACUUUCUGAAAUACAGCCUUGAACUACACAUGAAACAAUAGUGUUUAUUUGGUCACCAGCAAGAUGAUGAUGUGAAACGAAUGACUUUGCGUCUUUCAGAGUUUCUACCAUUAAAUAGUUUCCCAUAACAGAAUAUUUGCUAAUAUUGGUAGCUAAAAAUGAGAUACUUAUGCUUGUUGAUGCAUUCCCUUUUUGUAGUAACAUCCAUGUGUCCAGCAUAUGUAGAAUAUUAGAUUUUUUUGGCUGUUUAUUGUAGUUCGUUCUCAAGGUUUGGAAAAUUCUUUAGCUAUAUUCCUUGUCUCAAGCGAGCAUGAGCAAUAUCUUCUUUAUGCCGCAUGCCGCCAAUUUUCUAUUUUAGAUGGUUGUGUAUUUUCUCUUCUAAAAAGGGAUAUGUAUUUUAUUAAUCUGACUAUAAUUUGUGGUAGGUACAUACUGAAGGAUGUUCUGAGGCUAGCACCUGGUUUAGAAGUUUUGCAAUUCACAACAAUACCUCAUAAUUUUGAUUUGAUGUCCAGAAUGUCAAUUGAAGAAUGAGCCUAUGAACUGCAUUGUAUUUUGUAAUAUAUCCUUAUAUAUGGUGCUUGUGGCGUUUUGUUUUUGCAAUUAUAAGUUUACGUUUAUGGGUAUUAUAGAGUCCUUUCUUUUUCCACAAGGGGCAGUAGCUGUGCCAUUCGAUUCGAAGGACAAAGAGUUGAUCACAAAGGGGUAGCACUUAGGAUAUAUACACAAGAGUAUAGAACCAAAUUAUAUGAUGUAAUUCACCACUAUUUCUAUUAACUUCUCAUGUACAAAUGUUCACGAGUUCAUGUAUUAAGUACAUUUUAUUGUGUCACUUGUGUUUACUCUUUUUAAUGCAAGUUUACAGCUACUCGGAGUUCCUAA
rnacentral:lncRNA from 1 species